GAGAGAGAGAGAGAGAGAGAGAGAGGAAAGAAGGAGAGGGGAGAAAGAGAGGAAGAAAUCAAGAAAUACCUUAUUGCGGUCUCAAGUCUUCUCCAAUGUUGUUGCUGGCAUCAUAAGAGAGAGAAUAGGUUAGGGCUUUUAACUUUAUACUGUUUUAAAACAAAAAUAAAAAAGGAAAAAGAAAACUUGUCGUACUUCCCAAAGGUGUUGCCUUUAACACCUCAUGCCUCGCCUUGGAGCCUUAGGCGCUUGCCUCGUGGGAUGACAACUCGCCUUAGCCCUGGCGCGGCGCCUCGCCUUAGCCCUGGCGCGGCGCGGCGCCUCGCCUCGGCUGGCACCUUUCCUUGCCUUUAAUAACACAGGAGUGAAUAGUGAGCUAAGGUCUAAUUUCUUUGAAAUUAUCAUAGAUUAUGUGGAGGUGGCUAUUGAAUUUGUAGGAAUGCCUAAUAUUUUAUCGUUUGCCUCCCUUUAUGUGCCCAUGAUGACCAUAAAUUUUCGUUACUUUGUUGUCAUUGUUAUUUAAUGCAAGGAAAGGUAGUGGGCGAGGUGAGGCAACCCCUUAGCGCCUUGCCUGGCUGAGGCGAGUCGAUAUGCCAAGGAGAGCGAUU
rnacentral:misc_RNA from 1 species